UACGUAGGGACUGAGCGUUGUCCGGAAUCAUUGGGCGUAAAGAGCGUGUAGGCGGCUAUUUAAGUCCUGCGUGAAAUCCUGCGGCUCAACCGCAGACGGUCGUGGGAAACUGGAUGGCUAGAGUGCGGGAGAGGAGAGUGGAAUUCCCGGUGUAGCGGUGAAAUGCGCAGAUAUCGGGAAGAACACCCGUGGCGAAGGCGGCUCUCUGGAACGCAACUGACGCUGAGACGCGAAAGCGUGGGGAGCAACAGGG
rnacentral:rRNA from 1 species